AAUUUUUAAUUUUUUCAAAAAAAAGACCCGAAACCACGCCGAAUUCGAGUUGUCUAAAAAUAUCUAACUCCGUGUACUAAUCACAUUGGGAGACGUAGUCUUUUUCAAAGUU
rnacentral:rRNA from 1 species